rnacentral:rRNA from 1 species
AUUGAACGCUGGCGGCAUGCUUUACACAUGCAAGUCGAACGGCAGCGCGGGCUUCGGCCUGGCGGCGAGUGGCGAACGGGUGAGUAAUAUAUCGGAACGUACCCAAGAGUGGGGAUAACGUAGCGAAGUUACGCUAAUACCGCAUACGAUCUAAGGAUGAAAGCAGGGGAUCGCAAGACCUUGUGCUCCUGGAGCGGCCGAUAUCUGAUUAGCUAGUUGGUGAGGUAAAGGCUCACCAAGGCAACGAUCAGUAGCUGGUCUGAGAGGACGACCAGCCACACUGGAACUGAGACACGGUCCAGAUUCCUACGGAGGCAGCAGUGGGGAAUUUUGGACAAUGGGGGCAACCCGUGAUCCAGCAAUGCCGCGUGAGUGAAGAAGGCC